rnacentral:lncRNA from 1 species
CUCGGGGUGCUAAAAAUAUCAGUACAUCAGAAGGGUAAUUUUCACCCUCUCACACACAUCUCUGGUACCCACACCGGAGUUUAAACUAGAAUGGGUACUUUGGGGGCCUCGGUUGGUUAAAGUUGUCCCCUACUUUGACCAGGAGAUCAAUCUUCUGAUAUCUCUCUGGUUUGUCUGUUUCCACCGAGUGGCCCGGUGGUUCUCUCCGAGUACUUCGGCUUCCUCCACCACAAUAACAGACUUCCCGGUGUCCUACACGCUCCCUUGGGCGGUGUUUGGUGGGGAUUGUUCUGGUGGUGGGAUAAUAUUGUAAAGGACACAUCUCCAUUAAUCCUUAGGGAGUGUACAUGGAUCCGCUGUACCCUUG